UACGUAGGGGGCAAGCGUUGUCCGAAAUUAUUGGGCGUAAAGAGCGUGUAGGCGGCCAGAUAAGUCCGCUGUGAAAUCUCGAGGCUCAACUUCGAGCUGUCGGUGGAAACUAUCUGGCUAGAGUCCGGAAGAGGAGAAUGGAAUUCCUGGUGUAGCGGUGAAAUGCGCAGAUAUCAGGAAGAACACCCGUGGCGAAGGCGGUUCUCUGGGACGGUACUGACGCUGAGACGCGAAAGCGUGGGGAGCGAACAGG
rnacentral:rRNA from 1 species